UGUUUCAUAUAAAUCACUUCAUCCAAGUCACCAUGCAAGAAGGCAGUUUUUUUAGAUCCAUUUGUUCAAGUUCAAGAUCAUAAUGAGCAAUAAGAGCAAGCAUAACUCUAAUUGUAGUAUACUUGACCACAGAAGAAAAAAUCUCAUUAUAGUCUAUGCCUUUCUUUUGUGUAAAUCCGUUAGCCACAAGUCUAACCUUAAACCUUACAGGUUGUUUUUCAAUGAUUUCCUCUUUGACACUAAAUAUCCACUUGGAGUCAACUAGAGCCUUUCCAGCAGGUCUAGGAACUAAGGUCCAGGUCUGAUUUUUUAAUAAUGAGUUCAUCUCAUCAACCAUGGCAACUUGCCAAUUUCCAAAUUCCUGACUGCUUAUUGCUUCUUCAUAAGAUUUUGGUUCUUUGAAGACUAAGCUUGAUAUGAGAGAACAUCAAGAGAGAGGUAAUCCUUAUAUCUAAUAGGUUUUCUUAUUUCUCUCCUAGGCCUGUCUCUAGCUAAUUGAUAAUUCUUAACAUCUUCAGGCUGACUCUCAACAUUUUCUUGGGCACUAUUCUCUUCUAAAUCUGGAUUCCCAAAAGCAUUGUCAUCCUCUUCCUCUACCUGAUCAGAUUUCAGAAGAUCAAGUGGUGGAUCAAGCUCUACCUGCAACCUAGUUCUAUAUCCUUUUUCAGCUUCAAGUGAUCUAUCUGAAUCUUUAUCCUCCAAGC
rnacentral:lncRNA from 1 species